AAUAGCAAGGACACGGGAGCGAGCACACGGCCGUGUAGUGAGGAUAUAAUUUUUCUUCGGUACCUUGGGAUUACGACGCAGAAUUUGCAGCAUCGACGGCCACAGCCACCAGGGCCCACGAUGUCCAGCGAAGUGCAGAGACCGGACGACAGCCCCAGCACCAGCGGGGGAAGCUCGGAUAUCGAACAAAGGGAAUCGGUACCACCUGAACAGGAGCGAGAGCAAGCACAGCCUAAAAAGAAGGAAACCAAGAUCUCGAGUAAAACUGCUGCUAAACUUUCAACUAGUGCCAAGAGGAUUCAAAAAGAGCUUGCAGAAAUCACACUAGACCCUCCUCCAAACUGCAG